AAAAACAAUAUAAUAGGCAAGCUGUAAAUCUUGGCAGCUGUUAGGACGAGCGAAAUGAAGAAAAGGAAGUCAUGCCUUUUGAGUUGGGCUUUAAAAAAAAGAACCAUCCUGCUCAGCAAUGGAAGUCAGCAAGCAGCUGCAUGAUGGAGAGGAAGAGAGGCUUCUGAGCAAGCAUGAGAAAGUCCUGAGUGGGAGAAAAAGUCACAUUUAGGCUUUGGGCUGGUAUCUGAAAGAAGAAGAUAGAAGGAAAAGUUAUCUGUGGGGAAAGGGCAGUUAGAGGUACCGGAUUCAGACAAAAGGCCAAGAGGAUGGUGGUCAGCAGAAGAAAGAGAAUGCAUGUGGGAAUAAUUAGUACUUUCUCAUCAUGAUUAAGGAAGAGAUGCUCCAUCUAAAGAGGAACUUCUGACUCAGUGAUAUUGGAAAUAAAUCUGAAGCAAAUAGUAGGAAGACUGAAACAAAGCUUCAGUGGAAGCUUUUCCUCAAGAAGUGGUGGAGAAGGGGGGUGAGCAGCACUGACAGAAACAGGAGUAGGAGAGUCCAUCACGUGGAAAGGCAUGGCCGCAGGAACAGAAGCAGCAUCUCAACCCCAGCAUGAAAUGAAGCAGAGCAUGGCGGAAGUAGGAUGGGCUCCGUACUCUCAAAUCCUGUCCCCCGUGACAUACUUCCUCCAACAAGACCACACCUCCUAAACCUCCCCAAACAAUGUCACCAUCUGGGGAAGCAAGUGUUCAAAUUCCUUUGUUAAUGGGGGACAUUUCUCAUUUAAACCACCACAUUCCACUCCCUGGCCUCCAGAAGCUCAUGACAGCAUUGUAACACAAAAUGUAUUUAAUGUAAUUUCAAAACUCC